rnacentral:rRNA from 1 species
AUUGAACGCUGGCGGCAUGCCUUACACAUGCAAGUCGAACGGCAGCGCGGACUUCGGUCUGGCGGCGAGUGGCGAACGGGUGAGUAAUACAUCGGAACGUACCCUGUUGUGGGGGAUAACUAGUCGAAAGAUUAGCUAAUACCGCAUACGACCUGAGGGUGAAAGUGGGGGACCGCAAGGCCUCACGCAGCAGGAGCGGCCGAUGUCUGAUUAGCUAGUUGGUGGGGGAAAGGCCCACCAAGGCGACGACCAGUAGCUGAUCUGAGAGGACGUUCAGCCACACUGGGACUGACACACGGCCCAGACUCCUACGGGAGGCAGCAGUGGGGAAUUUGGGACAAUGGGGGAAACCCUGAUCCAGCAAUGCCGCGUGUGUGAAGAAGGCCUUCGGGUUGUAAAGCACUUUUGUCCGGAAAGAAAUCGCGCUGGUUAAUACCUGGCGUGGAUGACGGUACCGGAAGAAUAAGCACCGGCUAACUACGUGCCAGCAGCCGCAGUAA